rnacentral:rRNA from 1 species
CGCCAGACUCCUACGGGAGGCAGCAGUGGGGAAUAUUGCACAAUGGGGGAAACCCUGAUGCAGCGACGCCGCGUGAGUGGAGAAGUAUUUCGGUAUGUAAAGCUCUAUCAGCAGGGAAGAAGUUGACGGUACCUGAGUAAGAAGCCCCGGCUAACUACGUGCCAGCAGCCGCGGUAAUACGUAGGGGGCAAGCGUUAUCCGGAUUUACUGGGUGUAAAGGGAGCGUAGACGGCAGUGCAAGUCUGAAGUGAAAGCCCCGGGCUUAACCCGGGAACUGCUUUGGAAACUGUACGGCUGGAGUGCUGGAGAGGUAAGCGGAAUUCCUAGUGUAGCGGUGAAAUGCGUAGAUAUUAGGAGGAACACCAGUGGCGAAGGCGGCUUACUGGACAGUAACUGACGUUGAGGCUCGAAAGCGUGGGGAGCAAACAGGAUUAGAUACCCGCGUAU